AACGAUGUAUUUUAAAUUUCUUAAAAUAGUUGCUUUGCAUGCAUCAGAUAGGCUUUUGCCUCGUUGUUA
rnacentral:tRNA from 1 species